UACGUAGGGUGCAAGCGUUAAUCGGAAUUACUGGGCGUAAAGCGUGCGCAGGCGGUUUUGUAAGUCUGUCGUGAAAUCCCCGGGCUCAACCUGGGAAUUGCGAUGGAGACUGCAAGGCUAGAAUCUGGCAGAGGGGGGUAGAAUUCCACGUGUAGCAGUGAAAUGCGUAGAGAUGUGGAGGAACACCGAUGGCGAAGGCAGCCCCCUGGGUCAAGAUUGACGCUC
rnacentral:rRNA from 1 species